UGGAAGAUGCUGAGUACAUGGUUAUGAGCUGUCCAUCAUCGUCUCCUAGCAACGAGCUGACGGACACACCUGGGACAGGUACAGGCUAAUACCUGAAACAGCUAAUGAUUUCAUGUUAGCCGGAGAGCAGGAAGCAGCCAGAACAUUGUCCCUCUUGCUAGCUUGACUCUGAACAAACGUGUUUGUCUAGAAGGUCUCUGGUCCUCUGAGCUGGUCUCAUGUCAGGACCCAUCAGUCUGGCUGAGGAACAGGGUGUUGGGCCCCAUGGUGCCCCCCCACCCUCCAGGAGGUGUCAGAGGUGAUGAUGAAGAGGAGGAUACCUACGAAGAGGCAGAACCUUAUCUAGCUGCUGAAACCACCAAACAUACACCCGUUGUUCCAGAGAGGGCGGAGUCUGACAGCAGCCACUAUGAGUCAUACAGUGAGAGGGAUGAUGAUGAAGAUGAGAAGGUGGGCCUUGUGAAGGACAGAGCUCACUAUAUCCAAUGGAGCGCCUCGCAGCCCUGCCUAAGGCCCGCCCCCGAGUCCCGCCUCUGUGGCUACCUGUGGAGGAGGAAGUGGCUCGGGCAGUGGAGCAAACAGCUGUUCAUCAUCCGGAACGACGUGCUGCUGGUGAGGAAGAGGAUGAACGCACCUGUCCUCCUGCAGUUCCUGUGGUGUCCACUAGAUGCUGCUGUAAUCACACAUCUGUGUGUGUGUGUGUGUGUGUGUGUGUGUGUGUGUGUGUGUGUGUGUUUCAGUGUUAUAAAUUUGCUCAGGACCUGUUGCCUCAGAUGGAGGUGAACCUUCGAGGCUGUCAGCUCCAUUACAAGCUGAAGAGCAACGCUAGGAUCCAGCACCAACUCAAACUGGUCCCUCUGGGCUCCGAGUCGCUGGUUCUGGGCUACAGCAGCUUCCAGCAGGCCGACGAGUGGCGGCAGGCGAUGGAGGAGGCAAGCGCUGAUGGGGAGCUGGAGACUCGGAGCUUCUCAUCGCUGAGUAAAUCUGACCAUCAGCUGUCUUGCAGGUCCAGUUCAGUCCAGACCAUCUCUGAUGAGGAGAAACCUUCACCUGACUGCAGCUUGAACAAAGACCCAGGUAUUGAGCUGCUUACAGCCUGA
rnacentral:lncRNA from 1 species